UUGAUCCUGGCUCAGAAUCAACGCUGGCGGCGUGCCUAACACAUGCAAGUCGAACGCGAAAGGGGAGCAAUCCCUGAGUAGAGUGGCAAACGGGUGAGUUACACGUGGGUGACCUGCCUUCGAGUGGGGGAUAACGUCCCGAAAGGGACUCUAAUACCGCAUGACAUCCUGUCCUUAGACGGACGGAGAUCAAAGCUAGUGAUCGCAAGACCUGGCGCUUGAAGAGGGGCCCGCGCCUGAUUAGCUAGUUGGUGAGGUAACGGCUCACCAAGGCUACGAUCAGUAUCCGGCCUGAGAGGUCGGACGGACACACUGGGACUGAGACACGGCCCAGACUCCUACGGGAGGCUGCAGUGGGGAAUUGUUCGCAAUGGGCGCAAGCCUGACGACGCAACGCCGUGUGGAGGAUGAAGAUCUUCGGGUCGUAAACUCCUGUCGAAUGGGAAGAAUGUUUCGCGGAUGAAUAAGCCGCGAAAGUGACGGUACCGUUAAAGGAAGCUCCGGCUAACUCCGUGCCAGCAGCCGCGGUAAUAAGGU
rnacentral:rRNA from 1 species